CCUUGAGCUGUGGUGGGCUCCGCCCAGUUGGAGCUUCCCGGCUGCUUUGUUUACCUAAUCAAGCCCGGGCAAUGGCGGGCGCCCCUCCCGCAGCCUCGCUGCCGCCUUGCAGUUGGAUCUCAGACUGCUGUGCUAGCAAUCAGCGAGACUCCGUGGGCGUAGGACCCUCCGAGCCAGGUGUGGGAUAUAAUCUCGUGGUGCGCCGUUUUUUAAGCGGGUCUGAAAAACGCAAUAUUCGGGUGGGAGUGACUCGAUUUUCCAGGUGCGUCCGUCACCCCUUUCUUUGACUCAGAAAGGGAACUCCCUGACCCCUUGCGCUUCCCAAGUGAGGCAAUGCCUCGCCCUGCUUCGGCUCGCGCACCCACUGACCUGCGCCCACUGUCUGGCACUCCCUAGUGAGAUGAACCCGGUACCUCAGAUGGAAAUGCAGAAAUCACCCGUCUUCUGCGUCGCUCACGCUGGGAGCUGUAGACCGGAGCUGUUCCUAUUCGGCCAUCUUGGCUCCUCCGCCUCAGAGGUAUUAUCGCUUCAGUUCCAGAUCACCACAGUAAAUACUGCAAUACACCAGGUGCAAGUUGAUAAAAGAAUUCUGGAAAUUGAAGGCCAAGGAAGAGUGACUCAAAAAUAAGAAGCAGGCUGAAAAAUGAGAUGAGGAGACCGAGGCUCGGAGAGGCUUAUGCAUUUGCCCAAGACUCUACAACUCCACAACUUAACAGGCAAUUGCAUCUAGCAUAUAAUGUGUUGGUUAUCCCCAGAACACAGAGCAGUGCAUCUCCACAGCGAGAAUUCCAGAACAGGGUAAUCAUCAAGAAUCAAAUGGCUUGGAUCUGGUCUCUUCUCUUUGAGGAAGCAAGCAGGCAUGGAGGUGAGUCAGGCCAUUGGAAGAUUUCCUGUGGCUGAUGAAGAAUCCAACUCCAGGUUGCUCUUCUUUGAAGAGGAUUCCAGAAAUGCUUAGGGGCUGCUUGUUUGGACUGUAGGAGCUUAGCUGAGCACCAAGCACCAGCAGGAAUCAGAGAAUGGUGGCUUCCAUCCUCUGCGCACAGCAGCAAGGAAG
rnacentral:lncRNA from 1 species